rnacentral:rRNA from 1 species
CACGUAGGGCGCAAGCGUUGUCCGGAAUUAUUGGGCGUAAAGAGCUCGUAGGCGGUCUGUUACGUCUGCUGUGAAAACCCGGGGCUUAACCCUGGGCUUGCAGUGGAUACGGGCAGACUAGAGGCAGGUAGGGGAGAAUGGAAUUCCCGGUGUAGCGGUGAAAUGCGCAGAUAUCGGGAGGAACACCGGUGGCGAAGGCGGUUCUCUGGACCACUACUGACGCUGAGGCGCGAAGGCCAGGGGAGCAAAGCGGG